rnacentral:rRNA from 1 species
GACGAACGCUGGCGGCGUGCUUAACACAUGCAAGUCGAACGGAAAGGCCCUGCUUUUGUGGGGUGCUCGAGUGGCGAACGGGUGAGUAACACGUGAGUAACCUGCCCUUGACUUUGGGAUAACUUCAGGAAACUGGGGCUAAUACCGGAUAGGAGCUCCUGCUGCAUGGUGGGGGUUGGAAAGUUUCGGCGGUUGGGGAUGGACUCGCGGCUUAUCAGCUUGUUGGUGGGGUAGUGGCUUACCAAGGCUUUGACGGGUAGCCGGCCUGAGAGGGUGACCGGCCCCAUUGGGACUGGGCUGCGGCCCAGACUCCUACGGGAGGCGGCGGUGGGGUAUGUUGCACAAGGGGCUGGAGCCUGGUGUAACAACGCCGCGUGCGGGGUGUCGGGCUUCGGGUUGGAAUCCGCUUUCGCCUGUGCCGGAGCGUGGGUGACGGUAAUGGGUGAAGAAGCCCCGGCUAACUUCGUG